UGGGCAGUUAUCCUAGUGGCAAGGAGAGCCACUGUAAAUGGCUUAGUUUAUCUACGGCAUGUUCGAUUCAUGCCUGCCCAA